GCGGAAGGAUCAUUAUCGAAUUGUCAACACGAGUUGUUGCUGGUCCUCAAUGGGGGCAUGUGCACGCUCUGUUCACACAUCCACUCACACCUGUGCACCCUCUGUGGUUCUGUGGCUCAGGGGCUCUGUCCUCCUGCUGCAGUUCUACGUCUUUACACACACACUGUAAUGAAGUCUCAUGGAAUGCAUGUCGCGUUUAACGCAAUACAAUACAACUUUCAGCAACGGAUCUCUUGGCUCUCGCAUCGAUGAAGAACGCAGCGAAAUGCGAUAAGUAAUGUGAAUUGCAGAAUUCAGUGAAUCAUCGAAUCUUUGAACGCACCUUGCGCCCUUUGGCUAUUCCGAAGGGCAUGCCUGUUUGAGUAUCAUGAACACCUCAACUCUCGUGGUCUGCCACGAUGAGCUUGGACUUUGGAGGUCUGCUGGCCUGUGUCAGCUCCUCUCAAAUGAAUCAGCUUUCCAGUGUUUGGUGGCAUCACAGGUGUGAUAAAUAUCUACGCUUGUGGUUUCCCACCAGGUAACCUUCAGUGAUGGGGGUUCGCUGGGGCUCAUAAAUGUCUCUCCUC
rnacentral:sRNA from 1 species